UGAGCAACCUACCGAAAUGUGGGGGAUAGCCGGCCUAACGGCCGAGUAAUACCGCAUACGCUCUCGAUGAGGCAUUUCAUUGAGAGGAAACCUACGGGACAUUUCGAGGGGCUCGCGGCCUAUCAGCUAGUUAGCGAGGUAACGGCUCACCAAGGCAACGACGGGUAGCUGGUCUGAGAGGAUGGCCAGCCACAUUGGGACUGAGAUACGGCCCAGACUCCUACGGGAGCAG
rnacentral:rRNA from 1 species